rnacentral:rRNA from 1 species
UACGUAGGGUGCGAGCGUUAAUCGGAAUUACUGGGCGUAAAGCGUGCGCAGGCGGUUUUGUAAGCCAGAUGUGAAAGCCCCGGGCUUAACCUGGGAAUGGCAUUUGGGACUGCAAGGCUGGAGUGUGGCAGAGGAGACUGGAAUUCCUGGUGUAGCAGUGAAAUGCGUAGAUAUCAGGAGGAACACCUAUGGCGAAGGCAGCUCACUGGGACGGUACUGACGCUGAGACGCGAAAGCGUGGGGAGCAAACAGG